UGCGUAGGCGGCUUUUUAAGUCGGAUGUGAAAUCCCUGAGCUUAACUUAGGAAUUGCAUUCGAUACUGGAAAGCUAGAGUAUGGGAGAGGAUGGUAGAAUUCCAGGUGUAGCGGUGAAAUGCGUAGAGAUCUGGAGGAAUACCGAUGGCGAAGGCAGCCAUCUGGCCUAAUACUGACGCUGAGGUACGAAAGCAUGGGGAGCAAACAGGAUUAGAUACCCGGUA
rnacentral:rRNA from 1 species